AAAUAAAGACCCGUAUGAAUGGCUAAAUGAGGGCAAGCCUGUCUCUUAUAAUUAAUCAGUGAAACUGAUCUUCCAGUACAAACGCUGGAAUAAACACAUAAGACGAGAAGACCCCGUGGAGCUUAAAACAAACCACUAACACACUUCAACCCUAGUGCACUGUUUUGAGUUGGGGCGACUUCGGAAUAAAAUAAAACUUCCGAGCACAGAACCACCACUUCCAACCAAGGCCAACAAGCCUAAGUAUAACCAGACCCGGCUACAUUGCCGAUCAACGAACCAAGUUACCCCGGGGAUAACAGCGCUAUCUUCUUCAAGAGUCCCUAUCAACAAGAAGGUUUACGACCUCGAUGUUGGAUCAGGACACCCAAAUGGUGCAGCCGCUAUUAAAGGUUCGUUUGUUCAACGAUUAACAGUC
rnacentral:rRNA from 1 species